rnacentral:rRNA from 1 species
GAUGAACGCUGGCGGCGUGCCUAAUACAUGCAAGUCGAGCGAACAGACGAGGAGCUUGCUCCUCUGACGUUAGCGGCGGACGGGUGAGUAACACGUGGAUAACCUACCUAUAAGACUGGGAUAACUUCGGGAAACCGGAGCUAAUACCGGAUAACAUGUUGAACCGCAUGGUUCAACAGUGAAAGACGGUCUUGCUGUCACUUAUAGAUGGAUCCGCGCCGCAUUAGCUAGUUGGUAAGGUAACGGCUUACCAAGGCAACGAUGCGUAGCCGACCUGAGAGGGUGAUCGGCCACACUGGAACUGAGACACGGUCCAGACUCCUACGGGAGGCAGCAGUAGGGAAUCUUCCGCAAUGGGCGAAAGCCUGACGGAGCAACGCCGCGUGAGUGAAGAAGGUCUUCGGAUCGUAAAACUCUGUUAUUAGGGAAGAACAAAUGUGUAAGUAACUAUGCACGUCUUGACGGUAACUAAUCAGAAAGCCACGGCUAACUACGUG